GAUGAACGCUGGCGGUAUGCUUAACACAUGCAAGUCGAACGGACUCUUCGGAGUUAGUGGCGGACGGGUGAGUAACGCGUGAGAAUCUGGCUUGGGGUUCGGGACAACCACUGGAAACGGUUGCUAAUACCGGAUGUGCCGAGAGGUAAAAGAGAAAUGGCCUGAAGAUGAGCUCGCGUCUGAUUAGCUAGUUGGUGAGGUAAAGGCUCACCAAGGCAGCGAUCAGUAGCUGGUCUGAGAGGAUGACCAGCCACACUGGGACUGAGACACGGCCCAGACUCAUACGGGAGGAAGCAGUGGGGAAUUUUCCGCAAUGGGCGAAAGCCUGACGAAGCAAUACCGCGUGAGGGAAGAAGGCUCUUGGGUUGUAAACCUCUUUUCUUAGGGAAGAACAAAAUGACGGUACCUAAGGAAUCAGCAUCGGCUAACUCCGUG
rnacentral:rRNA from 1 species